UGGAAGUAGAGCUUAAGAAAGACAUUAAAUGAAAUUAUAGCGGACAUGCUCAGUUUAGCUGUUUUUGAGUUAUCGCAAAAAGUUCCCCCUUCAUGGUAAAAAGACUUACUUUACCUAAUUAGGUACUGAUUGUGUAAAUUUGCCUAUUUGUUUAACUCGCGUGAAAGGUACCGUUUCAUCCCUUGGUUAACAAUUUACUAUACUUUAAGCUCCAUAACUACGGAACCCUACACUGAGCGUGGCCCGACAUGCUCUUGGCCGGUUUUUAUUACAACUUACUAACUAACUUACUGCAAUAUUUAGAAUGUAUUUUUGCUUAAUGUUAGUUUUUGGUUACCAAUAUGUACAAUACAAUAGAAAUGUGGAAUAUUGAAGAAAACGACGUUGUUUCCACAUCUGGCCUGAGGUGUAUAAUUGUAUAUUACUUAGCCAACCUUUCUAAUUUCGUGGGUGGCAUUAAAUAACUCCUGUUAACGCCUUCGUCCACGUCCACACGCCUUAACAGCCCUUAAUCCUUGGAGCGUUCUCCGAUUUCACGAAAUAACGCUCGAUAGAUGGCGUUGGCGCUCGGUACGCGAGCGCCGGCAACGCGACGCGCGUUUCAAUGCAGACUAGAAUAAUCUUGAUAGUUUUCAAUAUAAUUUCAAGCAACAUUAAUUUUAGUGUCAUAUGAUAUCAUAUGGGCACUCUUUAUUUUAUUGUAUAUGCACAGUA